rnacentral:tRNA from 1 species
GAGGGUAUAGCUUAGUGGUAGAGUGCCUGCCUGGCAUGCAUGAGGUCCCAGGCUCAAACCCUAAAACCUCCA